UGGCGAACGGGUGAGUAAUACAUCGGAACGUGUCCUGUAGUGGGGGAUAGCCCGGCGAAAGCCGGAUUAAUACCGCAUACGACCUAAGGGGGAAAGCGGGGGAUCUUCGGACCUCGCGCUAUGGGGGUGGCCGAUGGCAGAUUAGCUGGUUGGUGGGGUAAAGGCCUACCAAGGCGACGAUCUGUAGCUGGUCUGAGAGGGCGACCAGCCACACUGGGACUGAGACGCGGCCCAGACUCCUACGGGAGGCAGCAGUGGGGAAUUUUGGACAAUGGGGGCAACCCUGAUCCAGCAAUGCCGCGUGUGUGAAGAAGGCCUUCGGGUUGUAAAGCACUUUUGUCCGGAAAGAAAACUGCCACCCUAAUAAUGGUGGUGGGAUGACGGUACCGGAAGAAUAAGCACCGGCUAACUACGUGCCAGCAGCCGCGGUAAUACGUAGGGUGCGAGCGUUAAUCGGAAUUACUGGGCGUAAAGCGUGCGCAGGCGGUUUGUUAAGACCGAUGUGAAAUCCCCGGGCUUAACCUGGGAACUGCAUUGGUGACUGGCAGCUUUGAGUGUGGCAGAGGGGGGUAGAAUUCCACGUGUAGCAGUGAAAUGCGUAGAGACGUGGGGGAAUACCGAUGGCGAAGGCAGCCCCCUGGGCCAACCCUGACGCUCAUGCACGAAAGCGUGGGGAGCAAACAGGAUUAGAUACCCUGGUAGUCCACGCCCUAAACGAUGUCAACUAGUUGUUGGGGAUUCAUUUCCUUGGUAACGUAGCUAACGCGUGAAGUUGACCGCCUGGGGAGUACGGUCGCAAGAUUAAAACUCAAAGGAAUUGACGGGGACCCGCACAAGCGGUGGAUGAUGUGGAUUAAUUCGAUGCAACGCGAAAAACCUUACCUAUCCUUGACAUGGUCGGAACCCUGCUGAAAAGUGGGGGUGCUCGAAAGAGAACCGGCGCACAGGUGCUGCAUGGCUGUCGUCAGCUCGUGUCGUGAGAUGUUGGGUUAAGUCCCGCAACGAGCGCAACCCUUGUCCUUAGUUGCUACGCAAGAGCACUCUAGGGAGACUGCCGGUGACAAACCGGAGGAGGGUGGGGAUGACGUCAAGUCCUCAUGGCCCUUAUGGGUAGGGCUUCACA
rnacentral:rRNA from 1 species